UAUGAAAGGAAGGAGGAUUUCAAUGGGUUUGUGAGCACUUUUGUCAGCCAUAUUUUCUGGGUGGACACAGAUGAGUCUUCCCGCUGUAAAUAUUGUAACUGUUGGAAGGCUUGAAAUCUGCAACACCCGGCAACUGCGGAUAAGUUAUCUUAUCCUUGACCAAGAUAUUGCCAGUGGAGGUUGAAUUUCUGGACAGAGUAAAAUGGAAUACCUUCUGUGUUCUUUGUUGCUAAUGAUCUUUCUCGCUGCCUACUGUCUUGGCUGUUCUCUCCUCUUUUUUGGCAAUUACAUAAAAAUAUAAAGAGGUUGACACCAAAUUUUGGUUCUAAAGUGUCCAUCUGCCAUGCUUUUAUUUAAUACAGCUGCAUUGUACCUUUUGUGUUGACUUGAAUCCUAACUUUAGCUUUAGUCUGAUUCUCAGAUGAAAGACUACUUCAAGGUUAUAUCUUCAAUGGUGUGGUGAGAAGUGUGUUUUACCUUCCAGCCAUUAUUAGUGUACAAAAUGAUUCCCGAGAGUUGGAAAAAGAAUACUUUGGUCAUGUUGAGAAUCCAAAAGAUGUAGAAUUUGGAGCAUAGGUUUAUUGUGGUCUUUUUGGUGAACGGUUGUUUUAACUUUUUGACGUCAAAUUUACCAUGUUCUUGUUCAUGCGCUUCAAACAAGACAAGAUUAAGAACAUUCUCGAAAAGGACACUAUUUAAUUGAAUGUGCCUCCUACAUACUAUAUGGCAUUUUACCCUUAACAUAAAUGAUGAAUCUUAUUGUCAAAUUAUAUAUAUGCCCCUCGUGAAGAUGGGAAAUUAUUCCUUUUGCCCUUGUAAAUCACCCACAUGCGUACGGAACCAGAAAACACAAUGGGUCAGUGAUGAAUCUCAUGCCAAUCAAUCCAAAUAUUUUAAAAGAAAGAAAGAAAGAAAGAAAGAAAUAGAGAGUUGCUUUCUUAGAAAAAUUAAAAGUCAAAUAACUCACUCCAUAUCUCACCCACAUCUGUCAACUCAUGCCCCUCCACCCCCACUUCAAAUCAAUAGAUAUUACGUUCUUAUAUUGUUCGGAUUCUUCGUGAGGGAAAAACGUUUUUGUUAGUAGAAUUUUUUGUUAGUCAAGUUUAUUUAUUUUCUUUCUUUGGAGUGAGUUAUUUUUAAAUGAAAGUAGGUUUCUUACUAAUUUUGUCCAUUGCAAAUAUGAGAUUUGAAUUGAUUGAAAAAUUAAAAAAAUAUUGUUUCAUUGAAAUCUCUUUGAAAGAUCACUUCAUUAACACAUUAAAAGAAAAACUUCCUCAGAAGUUAAUUCUUUAUCUUUCGUUGCUGCAUUUUUUUCGCCUGUAAAAUCUCUCAUGAAAGAAUAAUUAGUUGACAUAUAAGGCAAAUCUAUCACAUAUUUUACAUAUUGAGACAAAAGAAUUAGCUGAUGUAAAAAUCAAAUUCACCACAUACUUUACAUGUCGAGACAAAAGAAUUGGUUGACUUAGAAGACAAAUUCAUCACAUAUUUUACAUACUGAAAUUGAAGAAUUAACUAAUGUAGAAGGCAAAUCUAGCACAUACUUUACAUUCUGAGACAAAAGAAUUGGCUGAUGUAAAAGGCAAAUUCACCACGUACUUUACACAUUGAGACAAAAUAAUUAGCUGACGUAGACAUACUGAACAAAAUAAUUAUUUGACGUAGAAGGCAAAUUCAUCACGUACUUUACUUAUUGAGAUGGAAGAAUUGAUUGACAUAGAUGGCAAAUUCACACGUACCGUACAUACUGAGACAAAAUAAUUAGCUGAUAUAGAAGGCAAAUUCACCACGUACUUUACAUACUGAGAUGGAAAAAUUAGCUAAGGUAGAUAUAUAGAGACUGAAUAAUUAGCUGAUGUAGAAGGCAAAUCCACCACAUACUUUACAUAUUGAGACAUAAGAAUUAGUUGACUUAGAAGGCAAAUCCACCACGUACUUUGCAUGUUGAGAUAGAAGAAUUAGUUGGAAUAGAAGGCAAAUUCACCACUUACUUUACAUAGUAAGACAGAAGAAGUAGUUGACAUUAAAAGUAAAUCCACCACGUAUUUUGCACACCGAGAUAGAAAAGUUAGCUGACAUAGAAGACAAAUUCACCGCAUCCUUUACCUACUGAAAUUGACUGGAACACCUACUGUCAAAAACCCUUAUAAAAAGGCUAGAAUGGAAGAAAGAAAGUUGUCCUCUUUUAUCUCCUUCAACAAGAACUCCAUACUAAAACUGAUUGGAAUACCUAUCGUCAAAAAACCUUAUAAAAAGACUAGAAUUGAAGAAAAAAAGUUGUCCUUAUCGUCUUCUUCAACAAGAACUCCAUACUGAAAUUGGCUGGCACACCUACCGUCAAAAGUCCUUGGAAGAAGUCUAAAAUGGAAGAAAGAAAGUUGUCCUCAUCGUCUUCUUCAACAAAAACUCCAUAGUAAAACUGAGUGGAGCACUUACUGUCAAAAACCCUUAUAAGAAGGCAUUAAUAGAAGAAAGAAAGUUGUCCUCAUCUUCUGCAUCAACUAGAACUCCUAAUGGCGCUAAUCAUAAAAUACACUCUUAUAUUGUUUGACGUUGAUCAUAGUCAGAUUCAAAUGAUAUCUAAUUCUUCAAAAAAUAUUCAUAUCAUCAAAUAAUUUCAUACAAAAAGAAAAGAAAAAUGGGUCAACAACAUCAACAUGUGUAUUUGAGAGAUUGUCCUCAGGCUAAGGAGUGUCCAUAUAAGUUCGUUGAGGUGUUUACACAGACCUGUGGUCCUCUUUUAUAUUUCGUCGAGAGUUCAAAUUACUCCACCUAAGUAAAACGAAAAGAAGGAAUUGGAAAUGAAAAGGAGGAGCUAUUGUGAAGCCUAGAAAAGCAGAAACGGAAAAUCGCUUAUAUCGAGUCCCCAACAGCAACUUAGCUUAGUAGCAACACUCUUUCUACUGGUCGACGUGACGCUACUAGAUGCUUCUAAUCAAUAGAACACGAAGAAGAAGAAUAGGAGUUCGCUUUUGGAUCGGACUCUAAUUUUUCACAUAAUUGAAAAUUUGAGGGUUCGGCUAGACUUCAUUCAAGAAUGCCAUCAUCCCGGGAAUCAAUAAGAAAACAAGUGCUAAGUUCCAGAUGAGUGAAUAAACUGAAAGGAAAAAAGAGACCUUUUUCCCUUAGCAAUUGAAGCGCACUAAGCUCCGCUUCAACGAAUGAGAGUUUUCGAUAAAAUUGAUGAACCACGUGAGCUGACUGACAAAGAACUCGUAGGUGCAUAUCUAUCAACUCCAAAAAGCCAAACUCCUAUCAAACUCAAAAACUAUAAAAAAAAAAAAAAUACCAGUGGCACAGGUGUGUUUAAAGUUGGCCUUUUUAGUUUAAAUUUCAUUAUUUUUAGUAAGUGCAGUCACAUUCCACCACCUCAUCAUCAGUCGUCGUCUUAAGAGCAGCAGUCAGUCACAAAAACAUUUCAGUGUUUUUAACUCAUCUUUGCGGGUCCCACACAGCGUUAUCAAUGCACUUGCCUAGUCUGCCCAAUCUGCCCAAAUCCCCUGCCCGUUCCCCCCCUAUUUCUACAACCCGAAACUUCUCAACUCGAAACAAUACCUUUCCCUUUUACCUCUUCACAACGCUUCGCAAUUUCAGUUUUCUUCUUUCUUCCUCAAAUACUCCGACUUCGUAUUUUGCAAUUUAAUUAAGGUUUGUAUUUUUACUAUUUAUGUUUCUGUUGUGUUUGAUGUUUGUUGUACGGUGUAUGUGGAUACAUACGAGUAGUUUGUGUAUGAGUUGAAUUAAUUGGAUCUAACAAUUUGAUGUUUGCAGAUCGGUGAAUUGAUGUCCUGGUGUUGAAAUUGAGUGAACGGAGUUAGGGUUUUGGUGUGUUUAUUGCGCGAUCGAGGUUUAUUUCGGGGUUCUAGGGUUGAGUUAAAUUGGGGAUUUUUUGUUUGGUUGAGAAAUUGGAUGGUAUAAUUGAUGGUUGACGGUGAUAUAAGUGGGGAAAAUGCAAGGGGAGUUUUAUUAUGCAUGGGAGGAUACGAAGGGAAGAAGGUCAGGCCUGUAAACGGAGGAGUGACGGUGGUCAGCACAUGCCGGCGACGACUACAAGGAGGACUGUAGCCGUCGGUGGUUCUUCUAUUGUUAGUACUGUUACUGCUGAUUCCUUCUGCAAGGUUUUGUCUUGAUUGAUUUUUUUUUUCUAUUUGACGGGAGUUAUGUAAUAGUGAUAGCACUGGCUAUUCCUAUACUAAUCUUAGGUGCAUAUAGCUGAUUUUUCUUUUAACGCUUGGAUGUGGUUUUUGUCCUGGAUGGAGUUCUUUGGAGGUUGUAUCAUUUUUUAGCAUAGAAGAAGAAAUGCUUGUUAAUUUGCAAUUAUUUGCAUUGCAAAUUCAUAAGUUGCUCGUUUUUUUGUUAUAUUUGGGGAGAGGUGUAUGUUGAGAUACUUAGUAAGCCAGAGUUUUUUUUCUUCUCUUUUUUUUUUUAUGCUAACUUUUUAUUCUUGUGCGUAUGCAUCUUGCAAGCUCAUUUUUAAGGUCGUAACUGGUUAUUGACUGAUUUGACAUUGUGUCUUAUUGAGUGAAGAUAUGGGGUAAGAUAAAGCAAGCAGUUAAAUUUCAAAUAUAUCUCAAACCAGUAAUUUCAAAAUUCUGGGAAGAUAAGUGUAGCUUCUACCUGAUGAAUUACUGUUACUACCAAAAGUAAUCAGAAACUACGGAAGUGCGCGUUGCGAUAAAUUUUUGUACAGAAUGAAGAGGAUAAGGGCUUUUCCCUUUUCCAUGUCUCCAACUCUAUUGACGUCUUUCCCUAUUGAUUUAUAGUGCAUUUAUGUGUAGUUUGCUCAUGUUUUUAUGCAGUUUGUCGUUUUCUUAUAUUCUGUUAGUUGAUUUAUAGUGCAUUUAUGUGCUUAUCUUCUGUGUAGUUUGCUCAUGUUUUUAUGCAGUUUGUCGUUUUCUUACAUUCUGUUAGUUGAUUUAUAGUGCAUUUAUGUGCUUAAUCUUCUGUGUAGUUUGCCUAUGUUUUUAUGCAGUUUUUAUAUUCUGUUAGUUUAUUUUUGGUAUUUUUUGAACUGGUUUUCUUGGUGAAGUGAAUGUUAUCCUUUCUCCGCAGGAUGGUCGCAAAAUUCGCGUGGGAGAUUGCGCUUUGUUCAAACCACCGCAUGAUUCACCACCUUUCAUUGGAAUAAUACGUAGGCUAAGAUUGAGUAAAGAUAAUAACUUGCAAUUAGGUCUUAAUUGGCUUUAUCGACCCGCUGAGCUGAAGCUUAGCAAGGGCGUCUUGCUGGACACCACGCCCAACGAAAUCUUUUAUUCCUUCCAUAGGGAUGAGACUCCGGCUGCAUCGUUACUCCAUCCUUGUAAAGUUGCAUUUCUUCCUAAAGGGGCUGAACUUCCAACAGGGAUAUCAUCAUUUGUCUGCAGGCGGGUUUAUGACAUUUCGAACAAGUGCUUACGUUGGUUAACUGAUAAAGAUUAUAUUAACGUAAGUAUCAUUUCAUUUCUUGUCUAUUCCUCUGCUAUAUUAUGGGAAGUAAUUUGUUGUACCGAUGAAAUAGAUAAAUAGGGUUGAAAUGUUGAACGGAAAGGGAAGGAGAAUCUGUCCUGUCCUUGGAUAUGUUUCUCAUCAAAGAAAAGAAGGUUUUGAGCUGCUUUGCGGGGUGGUUGUUUGAAAUGGUGUGAGAACAAGAGGACUUGCAAAAUUUUCAGGCCUUCUUUUUUGUGAUUUCGCAUAUUGUUUCACUUAUCAAAUAUUAUUUUUCCUUUGCAGGAACAACAAAAAGAGGUAGAUCAGCUGUUAUACAAGACACAAGUAGAGAUGCAUGCAACAGUGCAACCUGGUGGUCGUUCUCCUAAACCGAUGAAUGGCCCUAUGUCGUCGUCACAAUUGAAAACUGGUUCUGAUAAUGUACAAAGUAGUGUAGCUUCUUUUCCUUCACAAGUCAAGGGAAAGAAAAGGGAGCGAGGAGAACAGGGCUCUGAAUCCAUCAAACGAGAACGUUCAGUUAAAUCUGAUGAUAGUGAAAGCAUCUUAAAAUCUGAAAUUUCUAAAAUUACAGAGGAAGGAGGACUGGUGGACUGUGAAGGGGCUGCGAAACUUGUUCAGCUCAUGCAACCGGAGAGAGUGGACAGGAAAAUGGAUUUGACUAGUCGUUCGAUGCUUGCAAGUGUUGUUGCUGCAACUGACAAGUUUGAUUGCCUUGCUAGGUUUGUGCAGUUAAAGGGCUUGCCUGUGUUAGAUGAAUGGCUUCAAGAUGUUCAUAAAGGUACAAUUGUUGAAGUUAGUAAUGGUAAGGACGGUGAUAUAUCAAUUGAGGAAUUUCUCUUGGUUUUGCUUCGAGCACUUGAUAGGCUUCCUGUGAAUCUUCAAGAACUACAGAUGUGCAAUAUUGGUAAAUCUGUUAAUCACUUGCGCCAACAUAAAAACAUGGAAAUUCAGAGGAAGGCGAGAAGCUUAGUUGACACAUGGAAGAAACGCGUCGAAGCUGAAAUGAACAUGAUUGAUUCUAAGUCAGGUUCAAAUCAAGCUGUCACGUGGCCCUCUAAAGCACGGUUGCCUGAGGCUUCUCAUAGUGGCAACAAAAAUCCUGGUGGUUCCAGUGAUGCAACAAGGAGUUCAGUUACACAAUUUUCUGCAUCCAAGACAAUCUUAAUUAAGCCUGCACCAGUGGAAACUAAUAUGAAGUCUGCAUCCUCGUCCCCAGGCCCAAUAAAACAAGCAUCACCUCCUUCAUCUGGAAAAGUGGGUCAGCCAAGAGUUUCAGCUUUUGGUUCCAGUGAUGCGCCUCUGACAAGGGAAGAUAAGAGCAGCAGUUCUAGUCAGUCUCACAAUCACAGUCCGUCCUUCUCAGGGAAGGAGGAUGCGAGGAGUUCAACUGCUGUGUCAAUGAGCAGCAUCAAGAUCUAUAGUGGUGGUUCUCGGCACCGCAAAUCGGUUAAUGGGGGUCUUGGAUCAUCAGUUUCUGCUGGUCAAAAAGAAAGUUCUACAAACAGAAGUUCUUCAUUGCACCGUAAUCCGACCAAUGAGAAGUCACUGCAGUCUGCAUUGAGUGGUGAAAAAACGGUUGAUGUGCCAGCUGUUGAUGGGAGUUGUCACAAAUUGAUAGUCAAAAUACCAAACAAAGGCCGCAGUCCUGUGCGGAGUGUCAGUGGAGGAUCGUAUGAAGACCCUACGAUAAUGAGCAGCCGAGCUUCUUCUCCUGUGCUUUCUGAAAAGAAUGAUCAGCUUGAUCGUAAUUCUAAGGAGAAGAAUGAUGCAUAUCGGACAAAUGUUACUUUUGACGUGAAUGCUGAUUCAUGGCAUUGCAAUGUCUUGAAAGAUGUUCUCACUGGAUCUGAUGAGGGUAAUGGAUCAAAUGUUGCUGUUCUGGAGGAAGAACGGAGAAAAACUGCUGGCGAGGGCAGGAAAUCAGCUGAAGUUGCCAAACCUGGUUCCUCGUCAGCAGGAACUGAAUUGAAGUCAGGAAAACUGCAUGAAGCUUCAUUCAGCUCCAUGAAUGCAUUGAUUGAAAGCUGUGCAAAAUAUUCUGAAGCAAACACAUCCAUGUCACUAAGUGAUGCUGUUAAUAUGAAUCUGCUAGCCAGUGUGGCAACUGAAGAAAUGUCCAAGUCUGGGAGGGUUUCAACUUCUGUUUCUCCCCAAGGAGAUAGCCCUUCUGGUGGAGAGACCUGCACAGGUGAUGAGCUUAAGUCAAAGACAUCUUUUGUAGAUAGUUGUGCAGGUGACCGUAGUGGGCGAAAUGACAGUGAUACCAAUGGUGAUAAAGAGAAACAGUUUGUUGUUGCUAGUAUGUCGUGGUCUGAGAGUAAACUUGAUACUUAUAAAAGUGCAGUCACGGAUUUUAACAGAGAUAGAAAGCCCUCUUCAUCUCCUCCUGAAGAAACAACCACGGGAGAGUGCUUUAACUCUUCCUGCACUGAUUCACAGAUAGCUGUAGAUUUGAAAUCAGAUGUUAAUGAGAAGUUGGGUGAGAUGGCAAAGUCUGCUACUGCUUCCGAUGUACCGGAAAAAGCGAGUGAUGGUGAACAGAGCAAACAAUUCCCUGAGGAAAAAGUAGUUUCCACUAAGACACUUGAUAGUGUUCUAGAUGGUAAAGUAGGUGGACAUGGUAGUUCAGUCGGAGUGGACAAAGUCAUUAAUGGCCUUGUAAGCAUAGAUGACUUGAAAGGACCAGUUGGAGUUUCAACUUUUAAAUAUGAGGUCGACAACAAAAAUGACAUGAGUAGGGUGUUAGGUGUUGCUAGUACAGAGGUGAAACCACCUUCGAUUGUGGCAAAAUCUGAAUCUACAGAGAGAGCGGAUAAAGAAGAGCUGCAACAAACUGCUCCUAAUCGGGAUUCUACUGCAGGGAAAGGUGGACAUUCUGUUGAAAUGGAUGCAAAUAAUAUUAUUCAGUCAGAACAGCCAAACGCUGGUAAAAAAAAUGUUGAUAAUUCAGUUAUUGAGGAUAAAGCUGUUUCUGAAUCUAAUUUAGCUGGAAAGAAUUUGAUAAAGGAUGAACCUAGUGCUGAAAAUAAUGAGAUAACUACACAUGACUCUGACGGUGGAUUACUUACUAAGAAAGAGGCACCUGGAUGUUCUAAUGCGGAAGUGGAAGAUGUGGAAUCAAGAGAAUCUAAGUACUCUGGUGUAGAUGCAGAUAGUACAAAGAAAUGUGUAUCAAUCAACAGGGAGACUUCUUCAAGCUCUGCUGCUCCUGCUCCUGCUCCAGAUUCAGCUUCAAAGAUGAAGUUCGACUUAAAUGAAGGUUUCAUUUCUGAUGAGGGGAAAUAUGGGGAGCAAAUCAACUCGACAGGCCCUGGGUGUUUGUCAAAUGUCCAGUUAAUGAGCCCAUCAACAUUUGCUGUCUCUUCGGUUUCCAGUAGCCUUCCUGCUUCCAUUACGGUGGCUGCUGCUGCCAAAGGACCUUUUGUCCCACCAGAAGAUCUAUUGAGAGUCAAAGGGGAGUUUGGAUGGAAAGGAUCAGCAGCCACAAGUGCAUUUCGUCCGGCUGAGCCAAGAAAACCCCCUGACAUGCAUUCAAGUUCCAUGACCAUCUCUGUUACUGAGGCUUCUACCAGCAAGCAUGGGCGUCCUCCAUUAGAUAUUGAUCUGAAUGUAGCUGAUGAAAGAGUAUUUGAGGACGUAAAUUCUCAGGAUUGUGCUCUAGCAAUAGGAUCUGGGGUGGACCAUAUAACUAAUCUUGGUUCAUCGAAAAAUAAAUGUUCAGGUUCUCCUGCUCUUCGUAGUUUUGGAGGACUUGAUCUUGAUUUGAAUAGAGUUGAUGAACCUAAUGAUGUAGGCCAAUGCUCCUUGAGUAGCAGUCAUAGAUUAGAGGGUGUUAUCUUUCCCACAAGAGCAUCUUCAUCCGGUGUCUUACCAACUGCAGAAGUGAGGAGGGACUUUGAUUUGAAUAAUGGGCCUGGUGUUGAUGAUUCAAGUGUGGAACAUCCUUUAUUCCACCAAAGUCAUCAGGGAAACAUGCGUUCCCAACUAAAUGCUUCUAGCCUCAGAAUGAACAAUCCUGAAAUGGGAAACUUAACUUCUUGGUUUGCUCCAGGGAACAGUUACUCAACUAUGACAAUUCCAUCAAUUUUACCUGAUCGUGGGGAGCAGCCACCGUUUCCGAUAAUCCCAUCAGGUGCCCCACGAAUGGUAGGUCCUGCUGCUGCUGGUUCCCCCUUUACUCCUGAUGUUUUCAGGGGCUCGGUAUUGUCAUCAUCUCCUGCUAUGCCAUUCCCUGCUGCCCCAUUCCAGUACCCUGUGUUCCCUUUUGGAACCAGUUUCCCACUUCCCUCUGGAACGUAUGCUGUUGGAUCAACCUCUUAUAUUGAUUCAUCCUCGGGUGGAAGACUUUUCACUCCACCUGUGAAUUCACAGUUGCUAGGUGCUGUGUCACCUCAAUACCCAAGGCCUUAUGUGGUUUCCCUUCCCGAUGCUAGCAGCAAUGGAGCUACAGACCACAACAGAAAACGGAACCGGCAAGGUCUGGAUCUGAAUGCAGGUCCUGGAGCUGUGGACUUGGAAGGGAAAGAAGAGACAAUUUCGUUGGUAUCAAGGCAAGUGGAGGAGCAUGGGAGGAUGUAUCCUGUAGCUGGGAGUCUACUGAAGAGGAAGGAACCUGAGGGAGGAUGGGACAGUGAGAGCUUCAGGUUCAAGCAAUCACCGUGGCAGUAGGAAUGCAAUAAACUGCAACAUGACGGUCUUCAAGGUGAUAUGAGAUUCAUUUACUUGUGAUUAUGAUAUUCUUCUUUGUGAUUUAGACUGUUAACCAUCUGUCUUUUAUGUUGUAUAAGCAAUAGAUUCUAGGCAUGUGCUUGGAAUAUACAUUGUCAUUACAUGUGACCUGCUGUGGUUGAGCUGCUUGUUUGUUUGUGUACAUUCCUUUUGCCAUGUGUUUUAGCUCUUCUCGAACUUGCAUCUCUUCCGCCAGGCUCGUAUGUAUACAAGUUCUAUGGUGGUGUUUGACAGCACAUAUUGUUUUAAUUAUACUUUUCAUUGAUCGGGAGAAAAUUAAGCAGAUUCAAAAUUCUUUAUAUUUAUUUGGGGUCUUUAGCCUAUUAUCAAGUAACACUUGGGGUGUUUGUUCCUCCUUAAAAUGCGAUCUUAAUAUGCUGUUAGGAUACUUGUCAUCCUUAACAGAGGAAUGUGUAGUUAGUAAUGCUUUCAAGUGUUAAGGGCUUGUGCAUACUUCUUAGUACCAUAUUUUGAUUUAAAAGCAAAUGGGUUAGGUGGUUUGAGCAUGAAGAAGUAUAUGUGCUGUGUAUUUGGUUUGACUCUUUCCUUUUCCAUUGCUUCUUGCAGUUAUCAAAGAAUGGACUAUGGUGGGCUCCUCAAAAGUAUGAUGUUCUCGUAUGCUCUUGAGGUUGUGUGAUGUGAGCAAUGAUGUGUUCAAGUCUCCAACCACCAUUUCUUUCAAUGUAUGAAAGGAAGGAGGAUUUCAAUGGGUUUGUGAGCACUUUUGUCAGCCAUAUUUUCUGGGUGGACACAGAUGAGUCUUCCCUCUGUAAAUAUUUUAACUGUUGGAAGGCUUGAAAUCUGCAACGCCCGGCAACUGCGGAUAAGUUAUAUCUUAUCCUUGACCAAGAUAUUGCCUGUGGAGGUUGGAUUUCAGAGUAAAAUGGAAUACCUUCUAUGUUCUUUGUUGCUAAUGAUCUUUCUCGCUGCCUACUUUCUUGGCUGUUCUCUCCUCUUUUUUGGCAAUUACAUAAAAAUAUAAAGAGGUUGACACCAAAUUUUGGUUCUAAAGUGUCCAUCUGCCAUGCUUUU
rnacentral:lncRNA from 1 species